UAUACAAAUUUUAACAUUAGUUCUGAUAAUUUACUUCAUAAAUAGAUACAGUGCUAUCUUUUUCUUUCUUUCUUUCUUUCUUUUUCUCUUUUAGGUUGGUGGAGAAGAUAGCUGCACAAGUGUGAUAAAGAAGCUGAUUUAGGAUAGGAAGGGUCUUAUCUCCAUAAUGAGCACCUUAUACCAUCAAAAGCUUCAGCUUCCAAGCACAAAGAAGGUGGCCACAAUUGCCAGGUCUGACUAUGCAACAGAUAUACCAAAUUCCCUGCAUAUCCCACAAUUAAAUAGAAAACAAAUCUACUCACUGCAACCACGAACUUCAGUUCUCUUUCUGCAGUUGCCAGCUGAAGCAAAAUGAAGAGAUCAGGAGACUGUUGUUCAUAAUGAUGGAAGAUAAUGAGAAAUUUCAGACUGUAGUAUCAUCACAGUGUGGGAGGAACUGU